rnacentral:rRNA from 1 species
CGGAAGGAUCCAAGCGUUGUCCGGAUUUACUGGGUUUAAAGGGUGCGUAGGCGGGCUAUUAAGUCAGUGGUGAAAGCUUGCAGCUUAACUGUAAAAUUGCCAUUGAAACUGAUAGCCUCGAAUAUGGUUGAGGUGGUUGGAAUGUAUCAUGUAGCGGUGAAAUGCUUAGAUAUGAUACAGAACACCGAUUGCGAAGGCAGAUCACUAAACCAUUAUUGACGCUGAGGCACGAAAGCGUGGGGAUCAAACAGGAUUAGAUACCCUGGUAGUCCACGCCCUAAACGUUGCAUACUCGGUUUUAGCGAUAUACCGUUAGGACCCAAGCGAAAGCGUUAAGUAUGCCACCUGGGAAGUACGUCCGCAAGGAUG